UACAGAGGAGCCAAGCGUUGUCCGGAUUGACUGGGCGUAAAGCGCACGCAGGCGGUCUGGCGCGUGGGGUGUGAAAUCUGGCCGCUUAACGGCCAGGCGCCAUCCCAUACGGCUAGACUGGAGGGCUGCAGAGGUCGAUGGAAUUGCCGGUGUAGCGGUGAAAUGCGUAGAGAUCGGCAGGAACACCCAGGGGGAAACCAGUCGACUGGGCAGCACCUGACGCUGAGGUGCGAGAGCGUGGGGAGCGAACAGG
rnacentral:rRNA from 1 species